CUGGGAACUGUAGGACUGAGGGUUACAGAACAGCCUUCAUAGCCUUCCCAAACAUUUAAUUGCUUACAACUUUCCAAAGAAUUCUCCUUUUGGGCUUUCUCAUUUUAUUUUAAGCCCAAAGGUGAAUUUUUUGGGAAGUUUGAGCUAAAUUCCUUCAACUAAAUUAUGUAAAUGAAGAUAAAUUUGCUUUUUAAAUUGCACAUUUACUUCCACCUAAAACACGAAUGUUACCACUUCAUACUUCAUAGCACAAUUCUAAGCACAAGUCACAUUUUAAAGUUGCCAUUUUCAUUGACUACUUCACACCUUAGUGUUCUUUUUCUGGGCCAUGUCCCUCAGUUGUCUGUAGCACCUUACCUGUAAGAAGUUAAGUUCAUUGUCUAGGGCAAGCUUUAUAUAACAUGGAUUUUCCCGACAAAUGGAAGGAUCUAUUUUCUGACCAUAAAGUCACAGAAUUAAAGUUUUGAUUUCAAUGUUUGUAUACUUUAAACUGGAACACUAUAAGCAAUUAUAAUAAUGCUCUGUCUUAAUUCGGUAAACCACAUUUUAAUUAGCAAGGGUAAAUAUUUAGAAUGUUCACAUAUGAGAUGACUGUGUAUAAAUAGACCGUGUUCAUGAUUGACCCAGAAGUCUCCUGCUGAGUGAGCAGUAAGUACUCCCUCAUGAAGUCCUCAUAGUACAACCCUGUGUGCUUUUGGGAACUGGACAGCCUUCCCUUCUGCCUUUAAUGAAACGUCUGCUUUGUCUCUCAAUCAAUGAAGAUCCAGCUCCAGGUCCCACAGGGGCUCUUCUUCCCCAAGAAAAAGAUCUUACUCGAGUUCUUCAUCAUCUCCUGAAAGAGACAGGAAGAGGAGUCGCUCUAGACCUUCUUCACCAGCUGUUCGCAAAAAAAGACGAACGAGAUCACGGUCACC
rnacentral:lncRNA from 1 species